UACGUAGGUGGCAAGCGUUGUCCGGAUUUAUUGGGUUUAAAGGGUGCGUAGGCGGUUCCUUAAGUCAGUGGUGAAAUACUUCAGCUCAACUGGAGAGGUGCCAUUGAUACUGGGGAACUUGAGUACUGAUGAGGUAGGCGGAAUGGACGGUGUAGCGGUGAAAUGCUUAGAUAUCGUCCAGAACACCGAUAGCGAAGGCAGCUUACUAAAGAGUAACUGACGCUGAGGCACGAAAGUGUGGGGAGCAAACAGG
rnacentral:rRNA from 1 species